rnacentral:rRNA from 1 species
UUUAUGGAGAGUUUGAUCCUGGCUCAGAGUGAACGCUGGCGGCGUGCCUAAUACAUGCAAGUCGAACGAUGAAGCUUCUAGCUUGCUAGAGUGCUGAUUAGUGGCGCACGGGUGAGUAACGCAUAGGUUAUGUGCCUCUUAGUUUGGGAUAGCCAUUGGAAACGAUGAUUAAUACCAGAUACUCCCUACGGGGGAAAGAUUUAUCGCUAAGAGAUCAGCCUAUGUCCUAUCAGCUUGUUGGUAAGGUAAUGGCUUACCAAGGCUAUGACGGGUAUCCGGCCUGAGAGGGUGAACGGACACACUGGAACUGAGACACGGUCCAGACUCCUACGGGAGGCAGCAGUAGGGAAUAUUGCUCAAUGGGGGAAACCCUGAAGCAGCAACGCCGCGUGGAGGAUGAAGGUUUUAGGAUUGUAAACUCCUUUUGUUAGAGAAGAUAAUGACGGUAUCUAACGAAUAAGCACCGGCUAACUCCGUGCCAGCAGCCGCGGUAAUACGGAGGGUGCAAGCGUUACUCGGAAUCACUGGGCGUAAAGAGCGCGUAGGCGGGAUAGUCAGUCAGGUGUGAAAUCCUAUGGCUUAACCAUAGAACUGCAUUUGAAACUACUAUUCUAGAGUGUGGGAGAGGUAGGUGGAAUUCUUGGUGUAGGGGUAAAAUCCGUAGAGAUCAAGAGGAAUACUCAUUGCGAAGGCGACCUGCUGGAACAUUACUGACGCUGAUUGCGCGAAAGCGUGGGGAGCAAACAGGAUUAGAUACCCUGGUAGUCCACGCCCUAAACGAUGGAUGCUAGUUGUUGGAGGGCUUAGUCUCUCCAGUAAUGCAGCUAACGCAUUAAGCAUCCCGCCUGGGGAGUACGGUCGCAAGAUUAAAACUCAAAGGAAUAGACGGGGACCCGCACAAGCGGUGGAGCAUGUGGUUUAAUUCGAAGAUACACGAAGAACCUUACCUAGGCUUGACAUUGAGAGAAUCCGCUAGAAAUAGUGGAGUGUCUAGCUUGCUAGACCUUGAAAACAGGUGCUGCACGGCUGUCGUCAGCUCGUGUCGUGAGAUGUUGGGUUAAGUCCCGCAACGAGCGCAACCCCCUUUCUUAGUUGCUAACAGGUUAUGCUGAGAACUCUAAGGAUACUGCCUCCGUAAGGAGGAGGAAGGUGGGGACGACGUCAAGUCAUCAUGGCCCUUACGCCUAGGGCUACACACGUGCUACAAUGGGGUGCACAAAGAGAAGCAAUACUGCGAAGUGGAGCCAAUCUUCAAAACACCUCUCAGUUCGGAUUGUAGGCUGCAACUCGCCUGCAUGAAGCUGGAAUCGCUAGUAAUCGCAAAUCAGCCAUGUUGCGGUGAAUACGUUCCCGGGUCUUGUACUCACCGCCCGUCACACCAUGGGAGUUGUGUUUGCCUUAAGUCAGGAUGCUAAAUUGGCUACUGCCCACGGCACACACAGCGACUGGGGUGAAGUCGUAACAAGGUAACCGUAGGUGAACCUGCGGUUGGAUCACCUCCUUUCUA